ensembl:lncRNA
AAACGAGGAGAAGGAACAAGGAACAAGAAGAAGGAACAAGAAGCGGGCUGUCCACUGAAAGAAGGAUCGCUGCUUUCUUAUCGUGAUGCGCAAAGCUUUCUGAUCUCUCAAAGCUCCCAAACCACUUUGAGUAAAGACAUUUGAGGUCUCGUUAAAGCGAUGUAGGUACAUGUGUUCAUUUUGGAUGGAAACGGCUUGAUUGGUGUUUAAGAGUCAGACUGAUAGCUGCAACUCUUCAUUUAUUCCUUUGACAAUGACUUGGUAGGUUUGAACGUUAGCCACUCUCCUUCUCCUGGCGGGGAGGUUGGGGGAUCCAGUUCUGCGAGGCGUCGCAUGAGCAUUCUUCUUCGUCGCGUGAUCCUUCUUAUUUGUCGGAUGAUCCUUCUUCUUCUUCGUCGGAUGAUCCUUCUUCUUCUUCUUCUGCGGCGAGCCACUCUCCUUCUCCUGGCGGAGAGUGGGAGGUCGGGGGAUCCAUCUCUGCAAGGCAUCGUUGAUAAACAAUUCCGGUCCAUAAUGACAGAGUAACAGAGACACAGUGGAAUCAUAAAGUAACCAUGACGACCUCCGGUCCAUAAUGAUGUCACUGAUGAUGUCUUUAACCGUCACAUCAUGAUGAAGAUGUCACUAACUAAAGCGUCACGCUGACAUCAUAAUUAUGAUGGCACUAACAGAGACACAGUGGAAUCAUAAAGUAACCAUGACGACCUCCGGUGACGGUAUUGGCUGCCGUGCUAAACAGUCUAGCCUCAGCGCUAGCCUGCUAGUCUGCUAGCCUGCUAGUCUGCUAGCCUGCUAGCCUGCUAGCUGGCUGCAAACUGUGGAAUGGAUUCCUGAACGGAGGCGCGGCUCAAUGAGACAGUUAUGAGACACGCUCAGGAAAUCCAUGGGACAUCCAAGGGAGCCAACGGAACGCAGCACGAGGGGGGAGGUG